rnacentral:rRNA from 1 species
UACGUAGGGGGCAAGGCGUUGUCCGGAAUCAUUGGGCGUAAAGAGCGCGUAGGCGGCCCUGUAAGUCCGCUGUGAAAGUCAAGGGCUCAACCCUUGAAUGCCGGUGGAUACUGCAGGGCUAGAGUCCGGAAGAGGCGAGUGGAAUUCCUGGUGUAGCGGUGAAAUGCGCAGAUAUCAGGAAGAACACCCGUGGCUAAGGCGGCUCUCUAGUACGGUACUGACGCUGAGACGCGAAAGCGUGGGGAGCGAACAGG